rnacentral:rRNA from 1 species
CCUACGGGUGGCAGCAGUGGGGAAUAUUGCACAAUGGGGGAAACCCUGAUGCAGCGACGCCGCGUGAGCGAAGAAGUAUUUCUGUAUGUUAAGCUCUAUCAGCAGGGAAGAAAAUGACGGUACCUGUGUAAGAAGCUCCGGCUAAAUACGAGCCAGCAGCCGCGGUAAUACGUAUGGAGCAAGCGUUAUCCGGAUUUACUGGGCGUAAAGGGAGCGUAGGCGGCCUGCCAAGUCUGAUGUGAAAUACCGGGGCGCAACCCCGGGGCUGCGUGGGAAACUGGCAGGCUGGAGUGCCGGAGAGGCAGGCGGAAUUCGUGGUGUAGCGGUGAAAUGCGUAGAUAUUAGGAGGAACACCAGUGGCGAAGGCGGCCUGCUGGACGGUGACUGACGCUGAGGCUCGAAAGCGUGGGGAGCAAACAGGAUUAGAUACCCUUGUAGUC